rnacentral:rRNA from 1 species
UACGUAGGGGGCGAGCGUUGUCCGGAUUUAUUGGGCGUAAAACGCUUGUAGGCGGCCACAUCGCGUCGGACGUGAAAUCUCCCGGCUCAACUGGGAGGGGCCGUGCGAUACGGAUGGGCUCGAGGCCGGUAGGGGGACGCGGAAUUCCCGGUGUAGUGGUGGAAUGCGUAGAUAUCGGGAGGAACACCAGUGGCGCAGGCGGCGUCCUGGACCGGCACUGACGCUGAGGAGCGAAAGCGUGGGGAGCGAUCCGG